GUUCACUUCUGCAGAACAUAUACUAACACGGGAAUGAUACAGAGAAGAUUAACAUGGCCCCUGAGCAAGGAUGCCAUGCAAACUUGUGAACUCUUGCAUAUUUUU
ensembl:snRNA U6 U6 spliceosomal RNA